CGGCCAGAUCUAGGAUCUAGGAGCCAAACAUCAUGCACACGAGGCGCGAGGUGGAGCUCCCGACGGCGCAGGUCAAUAAUUUGAGCAUAGAUGCCCAACAGCCAGAUCCAAAGUAUUUGAUGUGAUUUGUGCAUGAUGUUGGUCUGUUAGCCAUGUGAUGUUGAUAUAAAAUUUGCUUUUGGUCCUUCCAUGCUUGAUUUAGUUUAAACAUUGCAUCAAAGUACAAUGUUCAUUCCAUGACAAAUGAUCAAUUCCAUUGUAGAAAAUGACCAUCCAAACAAGCUUUGGAAUUGAGCAUGUCAUGCGAAUUCCAAGUCUGAAUUCUGUGCACAUCCGAACAACAUAAUUCGGGUUCAAUACCAAAGUCACGGAGAUUUGACAUUGAGCCCAAUCCAAUUCCAUGGCGCUCAAUAUCAACAUCAAAACAGAGCAUUAGAGAUCGUGACAGAAAAACUAGGAAAGCCCGUUAGAAGAGGAGACCCAGAUUCGAUGGGACACGGCUCGGCGCCGGAGCCGGCAGUGCACCAACGGCUGCGUGUGGUCUAUGGAUUUUGCGCCAGCUGCCGAUCGACGUUUUCCUACCCAUACGUAUUAUGUUUCUACAUUUUGACUGCAAUCUUAUCAUGUUGUAGAUCUCAAAUAGAUUAAGAAUAAAGUGAUGUUCUGUAUGCUAAUUUUGGCGAGUAGCUUUUGCGUGAACUAUGCGAUGACGCAUAAAUGGGGUAGUUGCCUCUUGAUUUAGUCGUUUGCACAACUCAUAAGAGCAACUUUGCACUA